CCUACGGGAGGCAGCAGUGAGGAAUAUUGGUCAAUGGUCGGGAGACUGAACCAGCCAAGCCGCGUGAGGGAGGAAGGUCCAGCGUAUUGUAAACCUCUUUUGUCAGGGAAUAAAGCCUGUUACGCGUCCCCCUAUGAGUGUACCUGAAGAACAAGCAUCGGCUAACUCCGUGCCAGCAGCCGCGGUAAUACGGAAGGUACGAGCGUUAUCCGGAUUUAUUGGGUUUAAAGGGUGCGUAGGCGGCCUGUCAAGUCUGCUGUCAAAGGUCCGGGCUCAACCCGGGCCCUGCCGUGAAAAUUGGCGGGCUUGAGUCGGAGGGAAGUAGGCGGAAUUCGUAGUGUAGCGGUGAAAUGCUUAGAUAUGGCGAAGAACCCCGAUUGCGAAGGCAGC
rnacentral:rRNA from 1 species